rnacentral:rRNA from 1 species
AUGCGCGUGUUUGAUGCCUUUCACGACAACACUUUAGAUGUUGCUUGCCUGAAUUAUGGGGUGAUUACCCUUAUCCCCAAAAUGAACGGAGCUAAGAAAAUUCAGCAAUAUAGACCGAUCUGCCUCCUCCGUUGCCCAUGCAAGCUUAUUACUAAAGUUUUGGACAACAGAGUGGCGAUCUUUGCUGAUAAACUCAUUAGUAAACAUCAGAACGCCUUCAUAAAACAUAGAAACAUUAUGGAUGGCAUUUUGACCCUGCAUGAAAUUCUUCACCACACGCAGCGGAAAAAUAAAGUUGGUGUGUUGUUGAAGCUAGACUUCGAAAAGGCCUACGAUAAGAUCAACUGGAAUUUCCUCCUUGAAUGUCGCAAGAACAAGGGUUUUGGCCCUGUGUGGUGUGGUUGGGUCCAAAAAAUUCUUAAUAAUGGGACUGUUAGCAUUAAGUUGAACAAUGAAAAGGGUCCUUAUUUCCAAAGCUACAAGGGGGUGCGGCAAGGGGAUCCGUACUCCCCUUUUUUGUUCAAUAUUGUUGUGGAGGCCCUAUCAAAGAUGAUCCUUAAUGCUCAGAAAGAAAAAAUGUUGACAGGUCUAGCCCCGGACCUAAUUAGUGGGGGUAUAGCUAUCCUCCAGUAUGCAGACGAUACUGUCAUUUGCUUUGAGCAUGACAAAGAAGCUGCGGUCAACCUUAAGCUCCUACUUUAUAUCUUUGAACUCAUGUCCGGGCUUAAAAUAAAUUUCCUGAAGAGUGAAAUCUUGUGUGUAGGGGGGAAUGAUGAAACAUUAGCUUUCUACUCUGAACUAUUCAAUUGCCAGAUUGGACACUUACCUAUGAAAUACUUAGGGGUGCCGGUGAGCUAUUCCACUCUCCGUGCUUUGGACUGGAGUUUUGUUGAUGAUAAAUUCCUAAGAUGUUGUGAAUCCUGGAUUGGUAAUGCGGCGUCUUCAGGGGGAAUACUGGCCCUACUCAACUCCUCCCUUACUAGUAUCAUCUUUUAUUACAUGUCUAUGUUUAUGCUCCCUAAGAAGGUUAUUGACAAACUA